rnacentral:rRNA from 1 species
GCCUUUUACUGACGCUAAAGCUCGAAGGUGCGGGUAUCGAACAGGAUUAGAUACCCUGGUAGUCCGCACGGUAAACGAUGGAUGCCCGCUGUUUGCGAUAUACUGUGAGCGGCCAAGAGAAAUCGUUAAGCAUCCCACCUGGGGAGUACGCCGGCAACGGUGAAACUCAAAGGAAUUGACGGGGGCCCGCACAAGCGGAGGAACAUGUGGUUUAAUUCGAUGAUACGCGAGGAACCUUACCCGGGCUUGAACUGCAGGAGAAGGAUACAGAGAUGUUGACGCCCUUCGGGGCUCCUGUGGAGGUGCUGCAUGGUUGUCGUCAGCUCGUGCCGUGAGGUGUCGGCUUAAGUGCCAUAACGAGCGCAACCCUUUUCAUUAGUUGCCAUCAGGUCAUGCUGGGCACUCUGAUGAUACUGCCACCGUAAGGUGUGAGGAAGGUGGGGAUGACGUCAAAUCAGCACGGCCCUUACGUCCGGGGCUACACACGUGUUACAAUGGGUGGUACAGAGAGUCGGUCGUCUGCAAAUGCGAUCCAAUCCUUAAAGCCAUCCUCAGUUCGGAUUGGGGUCUGCAACCCGACCCCAUGAAGCUGGAUUCGCUA